UUAACACAUGCAAGUCGAACGAUGAAGCCCAGCUUGCUGGGUGGAUUAGUGGCGAACGGGUGAGUAACACGUGAGUAACCUGCCCUUGACUCUGGGAUAAGCGUUGGAAACGACGUCUAAUACCGGAUACGAGCUUCCACCGCAUGGUGAGUUGCUGGAAAGAAUUUUGGUCAAGGAUGGACUCGCGGCCUAUCAGCUAGUUGGUGAGGUAAUGGCUCACCAAGGCGACGACGGGUAGCCGGCCUGAGAGGGUGACCGGCCACACUGGGACUGAGACACGGCCCAGACUCCUACGGGAGGCAGCAGUGGGGAAUAUUGCACAAUGGGCGAAAGCCUGAUGCAGCAACGCCGCGUGAGGGACGACGGCCUUCGGGUUGUAAACCUCUUUUAGCAGGGAAGAAGCGAAAGUGACGGUACCUGCAGAAAAAGCACCGGCUAACUACGUGCCAGCAGCCGCGGUAAUACGUAGGGUGCAAGCGUUGUCCGGAAUUAUUGGGCGUAAAGAGCUCGUAGGCGGUUUGUCGCGUCUGCUGUGAAAUCCCGAGGCUCAACCUCGGGUCUGCAGUGGGUACGGGCAGACUAGAGUGCGGUAGGGGAGAUUGGAAUUCCUGGUGUAGCGGUGGAAUGCGCAGAUAUCAGGAGGAACACCGAUGGCGAAGGCAGAUCUCUGGGCCGUUACUGACGCUGAGGAGCGAAAGGGUGGGGAGCAAACAGGCUUAGAUACCCUGGUAGUCCACCCCGUAAACGUUGGGC
rnacentral:rRNA from 1 species